UGUUUAAAGUUUAUCAUUAUGCCUGAAUUAAAGGUGUUCCACUUACAGGUGUUGUUGAGCCUCUGACUCAUGACCUCAGGGUGGAGAGUUCAAGCCCUGCACUGGGUUUGAAGAUUACGGGAAACCAACAACAACAACAACAAACAGUCUGUAACUUCACAAAUCUCUCACUUUGGAAGCUGGUGGCAACAAGCUGGCAGGAAAUAUGGGACUUAGGAAAAGCAAACACACUCUAUUUGCUAAUGAUCACUAAACAUUUGUAACCAAGAUUUUGGACAUAAUCAAAACGUUGGAUACUGAGAAGCUUUGUAAACAGAAUAUGACCGUACGUGUACUUGUUUCUGACUUCCAAGGAUGACGUCUAACAGCUCUCAGAUUGCAAAUGCCUGGACCAAUGGCACAAAGCUGACACUGAUUAUGGAACCCAUGAGAAUGCACAAAAUUCAGGAACUCUGGGGCUCUGUUUUUUUUUUUUUUUUUUUUAAACGAAAUAUUCAUACAUUAGUGUUUGUGGAACACAUAUACUCAGUUUAAAGGAGAAUUACCGAAGAAAUACCCAGUUUCUUCCCAUGUUUAAAGAGAACAUUGAACCAAUUCUACCAAAGCUCUGCGAGCCCCAUGUGCACCCCCAGUCCGCGGGGGAACUGCGGUCCUGUACUUCCAUGUUAAUCAUUUCCUUGCCUUUCUUUUCUUUUCUUUCUUCUUUCCAUCCUCCCUUCCUUCCUUCCUUUCUUUUUUUUAAGCCCUACCCCAACCUGGGGCUUGAACUCCCCUCCCUGAGAUCAAGAGUCGCAGGCUUUCCCUGCUGAGCCAGCCAGGCACGCCCCGUCUUUGCCUUUCUUUAUAUACUUUUUACCACAUAUAUAUGAAUAGUGUUUAAUUUUGUAAGUUUUGGGACUUUAUGUAGAUGGAUUUAUCCUCUGUAUAGUCUUCUAGGAAUCACUGUUUUUUUU